rnacentral:rRNA from 1 species
AUUGAACGCUGGCGGGAUGCUUAACACAUGCAAGUCGAACGGCAGCGCGUACUUCGGUCUGGCUGCGAGUGGCGAACGGGUGAGUAAUGUAUCUUAACUUGCCCACUAGCUGUUGGUAACUACUCGAAAACGUAGCUAAUACCGCAUACGCCCUACGGCGGAAAGCUGGGGGUCGUAAGACCUUGCACUCUUUGCGAUGCCGUUAUCGGAUUUGCUAGUUGGUGGGGUAACGGCUCACCAAGGCGACGAUCCGUAGUUGGUUUGAGAGGACGAUCAGCCACACUGGGACUGAGACACGGCCCAGACUCCUACGGGAGGCAGCAGUGGGGAAUUUUGGACAAUGGGGGCAAGCCUGAUCCAGCCAUACCGCGUGUGUGAUGAAGGCCUUCGGGUUGUAAAGCACUUUUGGCAGGAAAGAAACGUAGCGGGCUAAUACCACGUGGAACUGACGGUACCUGCAGAAUAAGCACCGGCUAACUACGUG